GUGCUCGCUUCGUGACACAUAUACUGCAAUCGGGACGAUACAGAGAAGAUCAGCAUGGCCGCUUUACAAGAAUGAAGCCCGAACUCAUGAAGCGGUCUGUUUUUUC
ensembl:snRNA U6 U6 spliceosomal RNA